rnacentral:rRNA from 1 species
UUCCAGACUCCUACGGGAGGCAGCAGUGGGGAAUAUUGGACAAUGGGGGAAACCCUUAUCCAGCGACGCCGCGUGAGGGAAGAAGGUUUUCGGAUUGUAAACCUCUGUCAGUGGGGACGAUAAUGACGGUACCCACGGAGGAAGCCACGGCUAACUACGUGCCAGCAGCCGCGGUAAUACGUAGGUGGCAAGCGUUGUCCGGAAUUACUGGGCGUAAAGGGCGCGUAGGUGGGCGCUUAAGUCAGGUGUGAAAACUCCGGGCUCAACCUGGAGACUGCACUUGAAACUGGGUGUCUUGAGGGCAGGAGAGGAAAGUGGAAUUCCUAGUGUAGCGGUGAAAUGCGUAGAUAUUAGGAGGAACACCAGUGGCGAAGGCGACUUUCUGGACUGUACCUGACGCUGAGGCGCGAAAGCGUGGGUAGCGAACGGGAUUAGAUACCCCUGUA